UUGGAGGGCAAGUCUGGUGCCAGCAGCCGCGGUAAUUCCAGCUCCAAUAGCGUAUAUUAAAGUUGUUGCAGUUAAAAAGCUCGUAGUUGAAUUUCGGGAUCAAUUUAUCGGUCGUGCAAUAGUACGUACUGGUUUUAUUGGUUCCUACCUUCUGAUGAACCAUGAUGCCAUUAAUUUGGUGUCAUGGGGAAUCAGGACUGUUACUUUGAAAAAAUUAGAGUGUUUAAAGCAGGCUCACGCUUGAAUACAUUAGCAUGGAAUAAUGAAAUAGGACGUUUGAUUCUAUUUUGUUGGUUUCUAGGAUCGACGUAAUGAUUAAUAGGGAUAGUUGGGGGCAUUAGUAUUCAAUUGUCAGAGGUGAAAUUCUUGGAUUUAUUGAAGACUAACUACUGCGAAAGCAUUUGCCAAGGAUGUUUUCAUUAAUCAAGAACGAAAGUUAGGGGAUCGAAGACGAUCAGAUACCGUCGUAGUCUUAACCAUAAACUAUGCCGACCAGGGAUCGGAUGAUGUUAAUUUUUUAAUGACUCAUUCGGCGCCUUACGGGAAAC
rnacentral:rRNA from 1 species